rnacentral:lncRNA from 1 species
GCAACACUUGUGGCAUAUGGAAGUUUGCAGGCCAGGAAUCAAAUCUGAGCUAUAGCUGCAACCUAUGGUACAGCUAUGCCAACAGAGGAUCCUUAACCCACUGAGCCAGGCUGGGAUUGAUCACAAGCUUCGGCAGCAACCCAAGCCGCUGCAGAGACAACACCAGCUUCCUAACCCACUGUGUCACAGUGGGAAUUCCAAUAUACACUUUUUAUAGAUCACUUUAGCAAAAAUAAAACCAUUCUAGAAAAUAUAUAUAUAUAUUACAUAUAAUUAUAAAUAAUUUAGUGCACCCAGAAACUUCAUUUUAUAACAAAACGAUACAAACAAAAUAUUCCAAUCUGUAAUGUGAAUAUGAUUACAUACUUCUCAUCAAAGCAAGGUUAUUUUAGAAAACAUAAGCCAGGAGUUCCCAUCGUGACUCAGUGGUUAACGAAUCCGACUAAGAACCGUGAGGUUAGUUCGAUCCCUUGCCUAGCUCAGUGGGUUAAGGAUCCGGCAUUGCCAUGAGCUGUAUGUCGAGACACGGCUCCGAUCCUGCGUUGCUGUGACUCUGGUGUAGGCUGGCGGCUACAGCUCCGAUUAGACCCCUAGCCUUGGAACCUCCAUAUGCUGCGGGAGUGGCCCUAAAAAAAAAAAAAAAGACAAAAAAUAAAUAAAUAAAAAAGAAAAAAAGAAAACAUAAGCCAUAUGAAGACUCCAUCUUGCAUUACAUAGAUGUCUUUAAGUUUUCCUUAGGAACCUACAUAACCUGAAAUCAGCAAUUCAAAGUCAGCCCUUUGUGACUUUAAUUUUAAAAGACUUUAAAGGAAGACUUCUUUAAAUAGAACCCACAGGUGACAUUUAUGCAUCAUGUCUAAUAAGCAGCAAAUCUCAGUUCCACAAUCAUAUUAUGCAUUCUUCAUCUUUAUUUGUGGUAGAUAUCAAGACUGCUGUUCACUGUUACUCUCAUUUGUACGAUGUGUUCUCUCUCUUUCUCUCUGAUUUGCCAAUUAUUUGCAAUUUUCUUGCCCAUUUAAACAAAUCAGGUUUGGGGCUCACUAUUCUCUUCUCCUUUGGACUGGAAGGAUUUAAUUAACACAUUUCUGUUUUAUUUUCUGUUUCACUUACUCCUGGAGCUUUAUUUCAUUGUUCUUUUCUAUUUUAAAUUCAGUUCAUUAUGCCUUUUUUACUUGCUAAGAGAUACCAUUAAGGCUAUACAUUUGUACACCAGAGAGGAUUUAAUUUGUGGGAUUCUUGGUCAUUUUGAAUCAAACAGUCUGUAAAUUUAGUCUGAAUUAUUUUUAACUAAAAAUUUCAUAGAAUAAAUUGUUGCUUGUUUGAUCAUAUAUCACUUAUAUGUGAAUCUAAGAAAAGGAUACAAAUGAACCUAUUUGUAGAAUGGAAACAGACUCACAAACUUUGGAAAACUACGGUUACCAAAGGGGACAGGUUGGGGGAGGGAGCUUGUUUGACUUUUACAUUUCUAAAUUUUUAAAAUUUCCUGAGAUAUAGAUUGGGGUUAGGCAGGUAAAGAAUAUAUCUUUUGCUGUGAAUUUGUAUAUUUAUUUCAUGGUAUUAAGAAAUCUGGCCAGUAUGAGCAUCAAUUUUAGAAAUAUAUCGCACUUUUCUUCAUAGCUUAAUGCAUGCUUAUUGUUUGCAAAUAUGCUAUCAGUCUAAAAAAGUCAUUCUUAGUAGUGUACAGCAGUUGUUGUACCACUAAUACCUGAAUUUGCCAAUCUUCUUGAAUAAUAUCCUCUAUAUCCCACUUACAUUUUAUUGUUUGUGUAUCACUUUUGACAGAAAUAUGGUUAUAAUUGAUCACUGUAGAUUUGUCAAAUUGCCCUUGUAUUCUAUAACUCAUUUUUAUUAUUUUAUAAAACCAUUUUUAUUAUUUUAUAAAAAUAAUAAAGGCUGAAGCACUAUCUUCUAGUGGACUGUCUUUUAACAAUUAUUUUUCUAUUUGAUGCAUUAGUUCUUAAAUUAUAUAUUUAUUUUAAUCAUUGAGUUCAUUUUGCCUGAUAUAUCUUUGCCUAUCCAUUUGCUAUAAUAGCUUUAUCACCCUAGCUGACCUCUCUGUGUUAUUUUAAGCAACAUAGAGCUAAGAUGUAUAAAUUAAUCUAGGAGCCCGUUUCAAAUAGGAAAUGAACCUCUGAUUUAUCAGUGUGGAGUCCUGAGGCUUCCCUGGCCUUUGUUUUAAUCCCCUCUCAGUCCAUGCCAACCUCUUCUUUCCCCAACCCCACAGGAGAAGAGUCUCACUUAACCUAAACAACUGUUUUCCUAGGUUUAUCGAGGUUACAAACACUGAAGCCAAGCAAAGGGGCAGUGGGGCCCAAGUAGGCCAACUCUUCAGCAGACUGUCUUCAAGUAUUACUAUCCAUCACCCUCUCUCUAAGGGAAAAAAGAUUUUUGUGAGGUCCACAACCAGCAAGUUUCAGCUUCAGUUUUUGUGUUUUGAAUUUCUCUGCUCUUUCUCACUCACUCUAGUUCAUUUAUCCAACACAGGUUAGAAAUUCAUCCAAAUGUCUUAUUUACUGAUUGAGUCCUUUCCUGCUUCCCACAAUUCUUACAUGCUUAUUUCUUUGCACAUACAUUUUUCUAUCAUUUCAAUGAAAUUGGGGAAGGAGAAGCUCUAAGGGUUAAAUCUACCAUCUUAAACCUUGUCAAUACUCUUAAGUAUCUAUUUUCAACAAUGAUUUUCUACAGAUACUGGCAAAUUUUUUUUGGUCAAAUUUUCAUCCAAUUCCACCUACUUCCAUAGCAGAGGAUUUGAAGGAAAAAAAUGAACAUGUCCAAUAUCAUAAAAUAAUGCUAAGAAUUUUUAACACUAAAAUACAACAUUGAAAGACAAGAUAGCAAAGCCAAACAAAAUAUUUGUUAUUUCUCUAUAGGACAGUCUGAUUUAAACUUAUUAGGCAAAUAUGAUAUAAACAGGUUUUAUAAAGUAUGCUGGAGAUAAAUGAAGUGUUGCAGCACAAUAUUCAUCAGCACAUGGCCUGGAGGCAGACCUCAAGGGAUUAUACCUUUGAGGCACCAUUGGGUAGCUGUGUGACUUUGGGGAAGUUACUUAAACUCUCUAACAAUUAAUUUCAUUACCUGUAGAAUGUGAUAAGAGUGCCUGUCUACUAAAAUGAGAAGAGGUUUAAAUAAUAUAUGAAAACAGUUAAGCCCAUAAUAGUUUCUCAAUAAAUAUUUCUCAUGGUUAUUAAAAGCUCUGUUUCUUAGAAAGAGGUAGUACUGACCAGAAACAUAGACUAUAUACCCUCCCAACAUUAAUUAUUCCAGUUACAAGAUUUUCUGUAAAGCUAUGUUAUAAGUGAGUUUAAAACAUUCCGCUAUUUGGUACUUAGUACAAAAGCUCAAGAAAAAUGACUAAAGUGCUUUCUCUUGGUCUAAUUUGCAAUUUGUAUUACUUUGUCUGUAGAAAGCAGAGCCCAAACUGGUAGAUUUGGAUAAUUCAAAAUUUUUGGUUCUCAUAUCAUAUCCUAUGCCACAGUAAAAUGAUUUUAUGCUGAUUUUAUGUGAGAAAAUUCUCAUUUUUGAUUAUAUAAAACUUUCACCAAAAAAAAAAAAAAAAAAGUCAUAGGAAGGAGAUUAAAGAGUCACAGGAGGACUUCUUAAAACCCAGGGGUGUCUUCUUACCCAACUGUCAACACCAGGAAUUGUGCCAAGGGGACAGAUGCUAAAAUUGGAAAGUCUCAUCUAGGGCUUGACAUCAGAGUUCUAUGAUUUCUCUCUAAAAAAGCAUCAGUAACCAUAAUGGCAACAAAGUAUUAAGGAGAAAACAAAAGCACUGUCCUUAAUGAAGAAUGGCUUCCAUUAAAUAGUUAAUACGACUAAAAUUCUAUUAACAAAAAUGAACAUACUGGUUUGUGGGAUGGGAAGUAAAAUCUGUAUUGAACUAGUUUCCAAAAGACCAGGAGGUAUUUUUCAAAUCAUUGGCAACAACAGGGAACAUAUGAUCAAUCAGGAAAAUAAUAACAGAAGCCACCACUAAAAAUAGCUUCCAAUGACAGUGCAGAGUUGAAGAAAACAAUAAGGAAAUCUCUCCUGCUGUUUUAACAAUACAGAGACAGAGAUCUGAUAAUGAAAACUGAUAACUCAAAGAUGGCAUUCAGCAUAAAGAUGGAAAUAAUCUAUAACUAAUACCAUUUCAUGGGGAAUUUACUGUCCAGAAACACAGAUAGCCUACUAGAUGCUCAUUCAAGAAUUGAACUUGGAUUUUUUACUCCCUUUAGAUUUCGCUUCUAUCAGAAGGAGAAAUCUGGCUUUUAAGAUCUCAGAAUCUUCAGCUGUUUUAUAACCAGGCUGAAUCCGAAAGUGUACUUGCUGACUGGAGUUUUAGCUUCUAAAGCAGAGCUUGCAAACUCAGAGUGCCAAGCAGGUGACAUGAGUGAGCAAGGUCAACUGUGAGGGUGGCCCAGGGACAUAGGACAGUCUUUAGCGUGGAGUGAGAAAGCGAGACUGGUGUUGUCAGAUUUCAUUUUUCAAAAAAAAUUUUAAAAAUCUAUACUUCUGUUUGAAUUUCCAAGUUAUAUAAGUGUUGGUUAAAAAAAAAAGAAAUACAUGUUUUAGCUAAAAAGAAGCACUAAUGUAACCAGUCUGCUUACUGGCUUAUUCAAUGUUUCAGAGGAAAAUAAAAUCAUUAAUAUGGACUGUUCUUAAAUGAGGAAUGAGCCACUAAAGACAAGUAUGUACAAGAGACUCAAAUAAAUAUAUUCUCCUUCCUCUUUUUUAAUAUGUGAGUAAAAACAAACACCACCAAUAAAAAUACUCUGAAGAAAAGAAUGAAUAAAAGAAGUGCCAUAGGUGACUAUUUUGUCAACCUCAACAUUUACUUCACUCCAGGAAACCCUUAUUAUCCACUUUUAUUUCAUUUCAUUCUAAGGUAAACUGAUAAAGAGAUUUUCUUUCUAUCAGUCAGUCUUUUCCAUUUCUACACCUCACUGCUUCUCAUUUCUAUUUAUGGAAAAGGAAACUCAUAAACAUCCCUACAUGACACAACACCAUAUUAGCUGCCAAACGCACAUGAAAAUACUGAAUUAUUUACCAAAUAUCAAAAUAAAGACAGAAAGAACAUAUUUGUCAAAGCAUACGUUGCAGAUUCUAUCUUGAAGGAUUAGCCUGUGUACGUUCUCCCCAAGACUGAAUGACAAGGCACCAUGAAUUACGAGGUUUUCCACUUCUGCUGGUGAGAACAAGAACAGUGGAUCUUUCCUUAACCUGGGCUAGUUUCCCCAUGCACAUGAACCUGAAGACUGCAGACCUUAGCAGAUCUCCAAAGGUUUGUCUCUGUGCAGCAUUCUCCUCUAGAACAUUCUACCAUUUUCACCUCUCUUGGCUCCCAGCUCUUUCCCUCCACUCAGGGGAACCUCCUGGGCUCUCCCUGAUGCCCUCCUUCUGCACCAUGGUCUGAAGCUGGGCAGGCAGUAAAAAUGGGCAGUCUGGAUUCACCUCAUUUCUUUUCUUUCCCCUCUCAAGGAUCACUGCCUUUCCUUGUCUGAUUUCCAAUGUUGUCUAAUAUAGUUUGUUCUUUUUUAGAUGUUUCAGGCAGGAUAGUAUACCUUGUCUCUGUCACUCUAUCUUUCCUUGCAGAGAUUUGUUUUGUUUUAUUUUGUUUUUUUAAUAUGUACCGUUUUAGGAGUAAGAGUCUGUUCUUUCCUCCCCACUUUCAUUACACUUUACAAUUUCUAUUGCCUCUUAAAUACACACAUUGUAAACC